AGGGUUCGAUUCUGGCUCAGGAUGAACGCUGGCGGCGUGCUUAACACAUGCAAGUCGAACGGGAUCCAUCAGGCUUUGCUUGGUGGUGAGAGUGGCGAACGGGUGAGUAAUGCGUGACCGACCUGCCCCAUACACCGGAAUAGCUCCUGGAAACGGGUGGUAAUGCCGGAUGCUCCAGUUGAUCGCAUGGUCUUCUGGGAAAGCUUUCGCGGUAUGGGAUGGGGUCGCGUCCUAUCAGCUUGACGGCGGGGUAACGGCCCACCGUGGCUUCGACGGGUAGCCGGCCUGAGAGGGCGACCGGCCACAUUGGGACUGAGAUACGGCCCAGACUCCUACGGGAGGCAGCAGUGGGGAAUAUUGCACAAUGGGCGCAAGCCUGAUGCAGCGACGCCGCGUGAGGGAUGGAGGCCUUCGGGUUGUAAACCUCUUUUAUCGGGGAGCAAGCGUGAGUGAGUUUACCCGUUGAAUAAGCACCGGCUAACUACGUGCCAGCAGCCGCGGUAAUACGUAGGGUGCAAGCGUUAUCCGGAAUUAUUGGGCGUAAAGGGCUCGUAGGCGGUUCGUCGCGUCCGGUGUGAAAGUCCAUCGCUUAACGGUGGAUCCGCGCCGGGUACGGGCGGGCUUGAGUGCGGUAGGGGAGACUGGAAUUCCCGGUGUAACGGUGGAAUGUGUAGAUAUCGGGAAGAACACCAAUGGCGAAGGCAGGUCUCUGGGCCGUUACUGACGCUGAGGAGCGAAAGCGUGGGGAGCGAACAGGAUUAGAUACCCUGGUAGUCCACGCCGUAAACGGUGGAUGCUGGAUGUGGGGCCCGUUCCACGGGUUCCGUGUCGGAGCUAACGCGUUAAGCAUCCCGCCUGGGGAGUACGGCCGCAAGGCUAAAACUCAAAGAAAUUGACGGGGGCCCGCACAAGCGGCGGAGCAUGCGGAUUAAUUCGAUGCAACGCGAAGAACCUUACCUGGGCUUGACAUGUUCCCGACGGCCGUAGAGAUACGGCUUCCCUUCGGGGCGGGUUCACAGGUGGUGCAUGGUCGUCGUCAGCUCGUGUCGUGAGAUGUUGGGUUAAGUCCCGCAACGAGCGCAACCCU
rnacentral:rRNA from 1 species